rnacentral:rRNA from 1 species
GAAUCCGACAGGCCGUAAACACACGGUUUCCAGGGGAAGGUUCGUCCGCCCUGGGUUAGUCGGGACCUAAGCUGAGGCCGAAAGGCGUCGGGGAUGGACAACAGGUUGAUAUUCCUGUACUACCGAUAACCAUUUGAGAGAAGGGAUGACACAGUAGGAUAAGCUAAGCACACUGUUGGUUAUGUGUGCCCAAGCAUUGAGGCAGUCAAAGUAGGCAAA